rnacentral:rRNA from 1 species
AGACGUAGGGGGCGAGCGUUGCUCGGAAUCACUGGGCUUAAAGGGCGCGUAGGCGGUUGUGCAAGGCUGGGGUGGAAGCCCACGGCUCAACCGGGGAAAGGCCCUAGAAACUGCACGACUUGAGUGAGAGAGGGGAGGGCGGAAUUCCCGGUGUAGCGGUGAAAUGCGUAGAUAUCGGGAGGAAGGCCGGUGGCGAAGGCGGCCCUCUGGCGCUUGACUGACGCUGAGGCGCGAAAGCGUGGGGAGCAAACAGGAUUAGAUACCCUAGUAGUCC